GACGAACGCUGGCGGCGUGCUUAACACAUGCAAGUCGAACGGAAAGGCCCUGCUUUUGUGGGGUGCUCGAGUGGCGAACGGGUGAGUAACACGUGAGUAACCUGCCCUUGACUUUGGGAUAACUUCAGGAAACUGGGGCUAAUACCGGAUAGGAGCUCCUGCUGCAUGGUGGGGGUUGGAACGUUUCGGCGGUUGGGGAUGGACUGGCGGCUUAUCAGCUUGUUGGUGGGGUAGUGGCUUACCAAGGCUUUGACGGGUAGCCGGCCUGAGAGGGUGACCGGCCACAUUGGGCCUGCGAUACGGCCCAGACUCCUACGGUAGGCAGCAGGGGGGAAUAUUGCACAAUGGGCGGAAGUCUGAUGCAGCAACGCCGCGUGCGGGAUGACGGCCUUCGGGUUGUAAACCGCUUUCGCCUGUGACGAAGCGUGAGUGACGGUAAUGGGUAAAGAAGCACCGGCUAACUACGUG
rnacentral:rRNA from 1 species